rnacentral:rRNA from 1 species
AGAGUUUGAAAAGGCUCAGAUUGAACGCUGGCGGCAGGCCUAACACAUGCAAGUCGGACGGUAGCACAGAGGAGCUUGCUCCUUGGGUGACGAGUGGCGGACGGGUGAGUAAUGUCUGGAGAUCUGCCCGAUAGAGGGGGAUAACCACUGGAAACGGUGGCUAAUACCGCAUAACGUCGCAAGACCAAAGAGGGGGACCUUCGGGCCUCUCACUAUCGGAUGAACCCAGAUGGGAUUAGCUAGUAGGCGGGGUAAUGGCCCACCUAGGCGACGAUCCCUAGCUGGUCUGAGAGGAUGACCAGCCACACUGGAACUGAGACACGGUCCAGACUCCUACGGGAGGCAGCAGUGGGGAAUAUUGCACUAUGGGCGCAAGCCUGAUGCAGCCAUGCCGCGUGUAUGAAGAAGGCCUUCGGGUUGUAAAGUACUUUCAGCGGGGAGGAAGGCGGAGCGGUUAAUAACCACGACGAUUGACGUUACCCGCAGAAGAAGCACCGGCUAACUCCGUGCCAGCAACCGCGGUAAUACGGAGGGUGCAAGCGUUAAUCGGAAUUACUGGGCGUAAAGCGCACGCAGACGGUCUGUUAAGUCAGAUGUGAAAUCCCCGGACUUAACCUGGGAACUGCAUUUGAAACUGGCAGGCUUGAGUCUCGUAGAGGGGGGUAGAAUUCCAGGUGUAGCGGUGAAAUGCGUAGAGAUCUGGAGGAAUACCGGUGGCGAAGGCGGCCCCCUGGACGAAGACUGACGCUCAGGUGCGAAAGCGUGGGGAGCAAACAGGAUUAGAUACCCUGGUAGUCCACGCCGUAAACGAUGUCGACUUGGAGGUUGUUCCCUUGAGGAGUGGCUUCCGGAGCUAACGCGUUAAGUCGACCGCCUGGGGAGUCCUCCGCAAGGUUAAAACUCAAAGGAAUUGACGG